UACGUAGGCAGCGAGCGUUGUUUGGAGUUACUGGGCGUAAAGCGUGCGUAGGCGGUGCCAUAAGUCUGUUGUGAAAUCUCCCGGCUUAACUGGGAGGGUGCGGUGGAAACUGUGGUGCUGGAGUGUGGGAGAGGUAGGCGGAAUUCCCGGUGUAGUGGUGAAAUGCGUAGAUAUCGGGAGGAACACCAGUGGCGAAGGCGGCUUUCUGGCCUGUUCGUUGACGCUGAGGCGCGAAAGCUAGGGGGAGCGAACAGGA
rnacentral:rRNA from 1 species